rnacentral:rRNA from 1 species
GAUGAACGCUGGCGGCGUGCCUAAUACAUGCAAGUCGAGCGAACAGACGAGGAGCUUGCUCCUCUGACGUUAGCGGCGGACGGGUGAGUAACACGUGGAUAACCUACCUAUAAGACUGGGAUAACUUCGGGAAACCGGAGCUAAUACCGGAUAAUAUAUUGAACCGCAUGGUUCAAUAGUGAAAGACGGUUUUGCUGUCACUUAUAGAUGGAUCCGCGCCGCUUUAGCUAGUUGGUAAGGUAACGGCUUACCAAGGCAACGAUGCGUAGCCGACCUGAGAGGGUGAUCGGCCACACUGGAACUGAGACACGGUCCAGACUCCUACGGGAGGCAGCAGUAGGGAAUCUUCCGCAAUGGGCGAAAGCCCGACGGAGCAACGCCGCGUGAGUGAUGAAGGUCUUCGGAUCGUAAAACUCUGUUAUUAGGGAAGAACAAAUGUGUAAGUAACUAUGCACGUCUUGACGGUACCUAAUCAGAAAGCCACGGCUAACUACGUG